rnacentral:rRNA from 1 species
CCUGGGGAGUACGGUCGCAAGAUUAAAACUCAAAUGAAUUGACGGGGGCCCGCACAAGCGGUGGAGCAUGUGGUUUAAUUCGAUGCAACGCGAAGAACCUUACCUACUCUUGACAUCCAGAGAACCUUUUAGAGAUAGAAGGGUGCCUUCGGGAACUCUGAGACAGGUGCUGCAUGGCUGUCGUCAGCUCGUGUUGUGAAAUGUUGGGUUAAGUCCCGCAACGAGCGCAACCCUUAUCCUUGUUUGCCAGCACUUCGGGUGGGAACUCCAGGGAGACUGCCGGUGAUAAACCGGAGGAAGGUGGGGACGACGUCAAGUCAUCAUGGCCCUUACGAGUAGGGCUACACACGUGCUACAAUGGCAUAUACAGAGGGCUGCCAACUCGCGAGAGUGAGCGAAUCCCAUAAAGUAUGUCGUAGUCCGGAUUGGAGUCUGCAACUCGACUCCAUGAAGUCGGAAUCGCUAGUAAUCGUGGAUCAGAAUGCCACGGUGAAUACGUUCCCGGGCCUUGAACACACCGCCCGUC